rnacentral:misc_RNA from 1 species
GUACCAAGUCCUUUGAAAUCCCCAUGUGGUUCUGGUCUGUAGGUUAACCAUCUCCUUUCUGUGUCCAUGGACUGCAUAUAAACAUACUUAACAUCCCUGGUAAGUUGUGUUGACAAUGUUUGUUGAAGUAAAUCUAUUUCGUGGCCACCGAAAUUGCAGUCUCAAAAAAUAAUAUGAAGUACUUCUGCUGUCCCAUUAUAAUAGUCCUUGUUUCGUUCUUUUAAGGGAUGUCCUGUAAUAUCCUUGAACAAAAGUCAAAAGGUCAAAGCUACUCCUUUUCUCAUGAUAUUCUUUCUGCAAAAUUAUUUAUAUAUAUGCCAAGCAAAAUAAUUGCUAUUAAAAUAUGAGUGUAAUUGAUGGUAAAAUUGGAAAAUAACUUUGGAGCAUAUAUCUGUCAGUCUGUGAAUGCUAUUGCAGUUUCCUGAAAUAUCAAGUCUAUAGGACUGCUUUUAGGGAAUGUAAGACAUACCUGAUUACAUGAAAUUGUAAUUAACAGGGAAAUAAAGCUUCUCCCCUCCCUGUUCCCCAAGCAUCCCUCUAUUAUCACCUUGAGAAAAUAGAAAAGGGAAAACAUUACUAUGGUAUCCCUUUAUUUGGGAAAGGUUUUAUUUGACGUAAAAAAUUUCAGAAGGGCAUGCUAGUCAUCCCUGAUUAAUCCAAAUGUUUAGUGUUUACACAUAAUAUGUGUUCAAGUUCCAACUCUGAUAUUUUUUUUAUCAUGGAUCCUGUAAAAUACUUAAAAAGAGAAGGCAGAAAAUGCACUUAAUUGCUUGAUAUCAUUCUCUAUUACCUCUUAUUAGAACUUGUGGUAUUUGUCUGUUUUCCAGCAUUUUAGAGACCCUUAUUAUUUCAUACAUAAAUCCUCCAAUAAUGAAGC